AAGGGACGGCUCACCUUAAAUGCAGUAUCUGAUUAAUGUUGUAAGUGACAUUGCAUAUCAGCCUCAGAGUCUUGGCUCAACUGGGUAGGAGGGAACAAAGAAGAAUGUCAUCAACUGCUGAUGCAGGAUGAGCCCAAUCACUAACCACUGUUUAGCAAACUCCAAAUACUGCAACCAAGCAGUAGAAGGCAUUUCUUGCACUUAAGCAGGGCGGCCGCACAAUGAAUGAGUCCUUCUGCUUCUGAAAAUCAAACAGUCCUUUUGCUAAGGAAGAAAAUCAGCUGGAAUGAAUACUGUCAUAUCCUCUUCUUGGAGAGAGCUUGCAAUACAGGCUGAGAGUGUCAAGUCCCUCCCACGAGAGCUGCUGUGGGGAUUAAGGGAGAUUGUAUGCAUGCAAGAAGAGUGCCUGGAUCUUGAAGCCCUCAAUACGUGUUAAUGUCAUAGGAGAAUUUGAAUCGGAAGCUCUCACCAUGUGUAGUACAGCAUCCUGGUCCAGGGCUAGGUGUCCGAAAGUCUCCAGUCCGUCCUGAACCUGAAGUCACUUUGGUUUCCAGGAAUGUGAAGCCUCGUAGGUCACCCCAUGAUGGUACUCCAAGUUAAACAUACAGAUCUAAAGACUGGCAUCUAGGAUCCGUGUAUGAGAAAGAAUAUUUGAUGUUGUCCUGAGUCUUACCACAAAACCUCUUUAAAAAUCAAUUGGAACUUGGCAUUUGAAAUUGAUGAAAAUGGUCUAAAAAUGGACCCGAUUCUACAGCUUGUCAAAGGAAAUGAGUCAUUAGUUAUUUAUUUUUGGAGGGGGAAAAAGUGUCCCGAUUCAGUGUUUGGCCUCCUUCCAGCCACCAAGCAGGUGCAGCGAAUUGGAUAUUUCUAUAGGGAUAAGGACACAGCUAAAAUUGGUCUCAGAAAAUAUUUUCCUAGACUAUAAAAAUACUAAGUGGAAUACAAAAAUCCCAGCAUCUGAAGCCAAUAGCCUACAGCAGACAAAUACCUAGAACACACUUAAAGCUAUUUUGUGCCACGGUCAUGAGCAUCAAGUACUGUAACCAUUUCCCAGGAGCCUUCUGACCCGCUGUCUACUUCCCCAUCAGUCUGUCACCACGUCAGCCAGAGACUCCAGGCUGUGUUUCCAGCAGAAGCUAUAGCAGGACCUGCUGCACAACUUGGUAUCCAGCUGGUUCUGAAAGUGCCAGAAGGGCAGUGGUAACAAACAGGCUGUUUUUAAAGGUCAGGGGUCAGCAAACAGCCUGAGAGCCAGAGCUGGCUGCCACCUACUUAGUUUGGUCUGUGGAACAUAGUCACACACACACCUGUUUAUGUGUCGCCACGUCACCAGAGCACAGCUGAGAAGAUGCGACAGAGACUCUGGGUGACCUUUAGGUCUGCAGAGUCGAAGAUACUGACCUUCUGGUCCCUUCAUAGAAAGGCUGCCGCCCCUGCUUUGAACUCGUCACUUUGGGAAAAUCUCCACUCAGCAAGGUUAAGGUAAAUGUUCCGAGAUUAAGAAAAUGUUGGCAGAGCUUUGCUGGUUCCAUGGCAGGCCCAAACACAUAUGUGCUUGGACUGGCAACUCUGAGUACUGAAUCCGACGCUGGCAUUCUAAGCUGCACACAGCUAUAAUAGUGGGCCUUUUUUUCUCUGUGAAGCGGCUAUUUUGUACCAAGUAACAUACUGUUGUGUGCUUCCUGUUUGUCCGAAACCACGGGCAUGAUCUCCCGACUUAAUCUACAUCCAUUAGAACUCCACACUGUGAUUUAGCAACGGACAGAACCAGCAAGAAAACAGCACUGUGCUAAACACCUUUUAGGCCCCUUCCCCAUGACACGCAUCAUAAUAAUUAGUGCUACUGCCAUCCAGGGCUACAAACAUAUCCCUUUUGACAAAGCGAACCAGGUUCUCAAGAGGACACAUGGGCUUGGGAGAAUGCUUGUGGAAGUCGUGGCAGAAGGAGGUGUGGAAGGUGACGUCAGCCCCAUUAUAAAGAAUCCGGACGGAAUGUUCACUGGGCUUUUGACGGUCUUGCCAGAGCUCAAAGAUCAGCCUGGCGGCGAACCUUGGGAACCUGGCUUCCAAAAGCCCCAAGGCACUGAGGAUGGGGGACAGAGUGACGUCGUGAGCAGAGUAGAGGGUGAACAGCUCGUCCUUCCAGCCUGCAGCAGCAUGCAGCAUCCGGUUGACCGUCUGAUUUAGGAUGGGGUGUGCCCCGAGUAGCGAAUACCCAAAGUACAGGGGCUUCUCGUGCCUCUCGUGCUCAUCCUCUAUCUGGUGCGUCUUGAUCACCUUGAAAUGCUCCAUGCCAAGGCAGCCACUUCUGCUGCAGGGGAAGCUGAUGUUGUGGCAAAAGUGGCAGAGCAUGGAGUCAAUGGGGUUGGCCGCCCGGAGCUGCUUGGUGGGGAUGUCCACGAUCUUGGCCAUCUCCCCGUAGGUCCGCUCUAGGUCACUGUUCUUCAGACGCAGGAGGUACUGCCGUCGCUGCUCCUUCUCCAGAUACUGGUUUCUCAGUGGGCAGUAGCAGCUUCCUGAACAGAACAGGGCACUUGGCUGGUGCUUGAAAUAAAUCUUCUUCCAGUCAAAGUCUGGGAGGAAGCCGUAGAGCAAGGCUAGCCCGCUCUGGAGGGUGCGGCUCUUGCCGGUGGUCUCUAGGUAGAGCUGUUCUGAGGACCAGUUGUUUGGCAGAAGUUUGUGUUUCCUCAGGUAGAUGUCCCUCAGCAGCUGGCCAUUCUGCAGAUGCUGUACGACUCCUACAACACCAGGGACACAGAAUCCUUCUUACCAUGAGGUUAGCAAAGGGCCACGAAGGACCAGCACCCAUCUCUGGUGUGUUGGAGAGCUGUGGAAGUUAAAGGGAUGAGGCCUGUUUCCCCACAGGGAAGGAGAAGUCAUGAGAACGGUUUUGUGUCAACUAGUGUAGGGAUGGGGUGUGGAGGACAGCCUUUGUCAUAAGCCUCCCUAUCCAGGGCCUGUCAUUUGCAUGUACCCAGGGGCAGGUGUAUGCAUACUGCCCAGGGACACAGAAGUCCUCAGGCAGGGAUGGCUACAUGAAAUCCGUCUUACCAUCUACUUACCGUUGGGACAUUCCCUCCUUGACUCUGUUUCCAUUUUAAUGGCCAACUGAAGGCCUUCUGUUAACCUCUGCCACAUUCUGUCUGGCCCUGCAGGGACUUUCCAGGCUCAUCUAACUAGCUCGUUCUCUGCAAUUUCAGAAAUCCAGACAGUAGUUUAAGGAGCAAAAGGAAGACAGUAUGUUUAUUGUGCUCCUUUUAAAUGGAAAAGAAGGAAAAGCAAGAACGUGUGUUCACAGUUGCUUGCCUUGUGCAUAAAGCAGCUUUGGAUGGAUGUAGAGAAGCCAGUGGGGAUUGCUUCCAGAGAAGGAGGGCACAGAAGGGAGAUGGGUGGGAAGCGGGUAGAAACAAGACCUACAUUCCCUUUAAUACUUACUGUCUUGGCUUUGGACCACUGGAGGACAAUGAGCGGAUUUUUUAACGAAAUGAGAAAGCUUUAUCUGUAAGCAGGAAAGGGCAACUCAAAAGAAAAAAGCAGGCUUGCCCUCCGGCUUACAGAAAGUGAGGGAACGCCAUCUCAGUAAUGGGUGGGGCUCCUCUGAGACGUGAGUGACACACAGGCAGUAUGACCAGUUAUGUCAUCUUUGUUCGGGUGUCCAAACAGUUUGGAGAGUUCCAUCCCCAGAUGGGGCAGGUACUUUUACCUGAUGAGCUCCCUUUUCUACCUCCCGAUAUAUUCCUAUGCAAUAAGAUGGGAUAGGGAAGUGCCGGUUCACUAAGAUACUACCCCAUGUGCACAGCAGGAGAGGUUAGCAUUCAGGGUCUGUUUCUUUUUAAAUAAUCCUUUCAAAACUUU